UACGUAGGGGGCAAGCGUUGUCCGGAAUCAUUGGGCGUAAAGAGCGUGUAGGCGGCCCGGUAAGUCCGCUGUGAAAGUCCAGGGCUCAACCCUGGGAUGCCGGUGGAUACUGUCGGGCUCGAGUCCGGAAGAGGAGUGUGGAAUUCCUGGUGUAGCGGUGAAAUGCGCAGAUAUCAGGAAGAACACUCGUGGCGAAGGCGGCUUUCUGGGACGGUACUGACGCUGAGACGCGAAAGCGUGGGGAGCGAACAGG
rnacentral:rRNA from 1 species